GACGAACGCUGGCGGCGUGCUUAACACAUGCCAGUCGAACGGAAAGGCCCUGCUUUUGUGGGGUGCUCGAGUGGCGAACGGGUGAGUAACACGUGAGUAACCUGCCCUUGACUUUGGGAUAACUUCAGGAAACUGGGGCUAAUACCGGAUAGGAGCUCCUGCUGCAUGGUGGGGGUUGGAAAGUUUCGGCGGUUGGGGAUGGACUCGCGGCUUAUCAGCUUGUUGGUGGGGUAGUGGCUUACCAAGGCUUUGACGGGUAGCCGGCCUGAGAGGGUGACCGGCCACAUUGGGACUGAGAUACGGCCCAGACUCCUACGGGAGGCAGCAGUGGGGAAUAUUGCACAAUGGGCGGAAGCCUGAUGCAGCAACGCCGCGUGCGGGGUGACGGCCUUCGGGUUGUAAACCGCUUUCGCCUGUGACGAAGCGUGAGUGACGGUAAUGGGUAAAGAAGCACCGGCUAACUACGUG
rnacentral:rRNA from 1 species